CCUACGGGAGGCAGCAGUGGGGAAUAUUGGACAAUGGGGGGAACCCUGAUCCAGCCAUGCCGCGUGUGUGAAGAAGGCCCUCGGGUUGUAAAGCACUUUCAGUGAGGAAGAACGCCUGGUGGUUAAUACCCAUCAGGAAAGACAUCACUCACAGAAGAAGCACCGGCUAACUCCGUGCCAGCAGCCGCGGUAAUACGGAGGGUGCGAGCGUUAAUCGGAAUUACUGGGCGUAAAGCGCGCGUAGGUGGCUUGAUAAGCCGGUUGUGAAAGCCCCGGGCUCAACCUGGGAACGGCAUCCGGAACUGGCAAGCAUGAGGGCCAGAGAGGGAGGUAGAAUUCCCGGUGUAGCGGGUAAAUGCGUAGAGAGCGGGAGGAAUACCAAUGGCGAAGGCGGCCUUCUGGACUGACACUGACACUGAGGUGCGAAAGCGUGGGUAGCAAACAGGAUUAGAUACCCGGGUAGUC
rnacentral:rRNA from 1 species